rnacentral:SRP_RNA from 1 species
AUUUGGGUCUCACGCGACAGAAAUCUGUGAACCGUGUCAGGUCGGGAACGAAGCAGCACUAAGCAGAACCUUCUGGGUGCCGUGAGGGUCCCUGGGUUG